rnacentral:rRNA from 1 species
GACGAACGCUGGCGGCGUGCUUAACACAUGCAAGUCGAACGCUGAAGCUCAGCUUGCUGGGUGGAUGAGUGGCGAACGGGUGAGUAACACGUGAGUAACCUGCCCCCUUCUUUGGGAUAACGCCCGGAAACGGGUGCUAAUACUGGAUAUUCACUGAUCUUCGCAUGGGGGUUGGUGGAAAGGUUUUUUCUGGUGGGGGAUGGGCUCGCGGCCUAUCAGCUUGUUGGUGGGGUGAUGGCCUACCAAGGCUUUGACGGGUAGCCGGCCUGAGAGGGUGACCGGUCACAUUGGGACUGAGAUACGGCCCAGACUCCUACGGGAGGCAGCAGUGGGGAAUAUUGCACAAUGGGCGAAAGCCUGAUGCAGCGACGCCGCGGGAGGGAUGGAGGCCUUCGGGUUGUAAACCUCUUUCGCUCAUGGUCAAGCCGCAACAGUGGUUGUGGUGAGGGUAGUGGGUAAAGAAGCGCCGGCUAACUACGUG